GGUUAAAAAUUUUAUUAAUAAAUGUUUCAAAGCGAGAUUUUUAAAUUUCAAAACACAAUAACAAAGGAAUAUCUCUUUUCUUACUACAUUUACAGAUGUUACAAAAAUCCACAAUUUUGUUGCACUGGUAAGAGUAAACAUUGCUUUGAAAUUAGAAAAUCUCUCAAAAUAUGAUUUUCAGAUUUCAAAAAACAGAUCAUUUGCAAAAUAAUAUAUUUACAAGUGUUACAAAAUUGCUUUUAAAAUAAUGUUACGUUGUCAGAUUUAUUUUCAGAAAACAUGUAAAAAUCAAAAAAAUUUAACCCAAAACACAAAUAAACCCAAACUAGUGAGAUCUACUCAAAAUUUACAAAUACAAAUUUACAAAUAAAUUUAAACUUGGCAGAUCUAUUCAGAAUUUACAAAUAAAUCCAAACUAGUCAAAUAUACGCAAAAUUUGCAAAUAAAAAAUUACAAAUAAACCUAAAAUAGUCAGAUUUAUUUCAGAAUUUACAAAUAAAACCAAAGUACUCAGAUCUACUCAAAAUUUACAAAUAAAUCCGAAGUAGUCAGAUGUACUCAGAAUUUACAAAUACACCCAAACUAGUCAAAUCUACUCAAAAUUUACAAACUAACCCAAACUAGCCAAAACUAAUUGUGUACUCAAAAUUUUCAAAUAAACCUAAAUUAGUCAAAUCUACUAAAGUUUCCCAAUAGAGAAUCCAAGUCAUUUUGAAGUAGCGCACGUAUUAAUUUUGCCGGUGUGUCUUUUCUUCUCAAGGAGCUGUAUGAUAACACCUGUUCUUGCCUUCUCAUCUUUAGUAAUAUCUUCUAAUAUAAGGAAUGCCUUCAUGCUUUUACACACUAACUACUAUACGAGCCUAUAGCGCUAACCAUGGACUCCUCCUCACCCUGUCACCGCACCAUCCGAGCUUCAGCCAAUCAUUUUCUAUUUUAGACUUUUUAUUAUUAUUAUUAUGAUUUUCAAUUGUUUGUCGCUACGGAUACAGAACGGCACUCGAAUACGAUCAACCGUGGAAGAAUCUUUGCCCGGGCAGCCUCACAGACGAUAAAACGGACUGCCGAAUUCACAAUGAAGGAUUUGCAAUAUCUGUCUCCACCCAUCCAUGAAGUGACUCAGAAUGAAUUGUAUAAGAGGUCCAACAUCGCAUUGUAAUUUUUAUUUUUGUUAACCAACCGGUGCGUUCGCGGCGAGUUUGAUGUCGGGAUUUCCAAAACGAGGGCGGGUCUGUGGAGCUGUAUUUUUUGAAUUUACUGUUUUAGAUGAAAUGUCCUCAAAAAAAAUCCUCAAAAAAACAAUUUCAACAAGUUUACCUUAAUAAUCUUCUUUCCAAACAUCCUCUUAAAGACGCAUUGUGUAACUUUACCACGUGUAUGUCUCCAUGGUAACAUUACUGCUUUAUCAGUAAGGUUUGACAGCUUUUAAAUUGCUGAAAAUAAAUCGUGACAAGGCUCGCCUCUCCACAAAUCUGACCUGUAACUCGGCGUGGUCGUGUUAUCUUCUUGUCCUCAUACACGCAAGUUAAAUGCCAUACUGUGGAACAUCCCAAGCAAAGUAAUAACAUCGCCAUGGAGACGAACAGGUGUGAAGGUGACACCACUGACAGGAAAAACUUGGUAAUUAUUUGGCCUAUCCACAUGAAGAAAAAAAAAGAAAAAAAAGUGGCACAAAAAUUUUAAAGGUUCUGUACCAGAUUUUUCUGAAUUUUACUGCUCUCAAAAAUAUGAAAAACACAACUAGUUCAUUUUAAACUAGUUAUUUGGACAACUGCAAACCUCAAAACUCAAGAGCUUCUUUUACAGUGUCCCUAUUUUGACAAAUUUUGACAGCUAGUAUGCCAAGCGUGUACUUCCUGAUUCUCUAACCUAAAAAAAAAAAGCUUCAUAAUGAGAUGCAGACGUGUGCUGUGUACUUCCUGAUUCUGAUGUGGAAGGACACAGCAGACUUAUUUUGGUUGUAUAAUAUCUUUGUACUGGGGUAAGACUUUUGACUGCAAAGUUAAUAACAUCUAGCAUGCUAACUGUGUACUUCCUGAUUCUCAGAUAAAUCUCACAUUAUAAUACAUGCAAACGGUACACAGCGGAUUUACUUUGACCUCAAGACCUGCUUGUACAAUAUCUCUGCACUGGGGUAAGACAACACUGGAGAACUCUAAAAAUAACAACAGCUAGCAUGCUAACUGUGUACUUCCUGAUUCUCACAUAAUUCUUGCUUUAUAAUACAUGCAAACAGUACAAAACAGAUUUACUCUGACCUCAAGACCUGCUUGUACAAUAUCUCUGUACUGAGGUAAGACAAUGUUAGAGAACUGUAAAGAUAACAACAGCUGGCAUGCUAACUGUGUACUUCCUGAUUCUCAGAUAAUUGUCAGUUUAUAAUAGAUGCAGACCGUACACAGCAGAUUUACUUUGACCUGAAGACCUGCUUGUACAAAAUCUCUGUACUGGGGUAAGAUGACGUUUGAGUGUAAAGAUAACAGCUAGCAUGCUAACUGUGUACUUCCUGAUUCUCUGAUAAUUGUUGCUUUAUAUUACAUGCAGACGGUACACAGCAGAUUUACUUUGGCCUCAAGACCUGCUUGUACAAUAUCUCUGUACUGGGAUAAUUGUCAGUUUAUAAUAGAUGCAGACCGUACACAGCAGAUUUACUUUGACCUGAAGACCUGCUUGUACAAAAUCUCUGUACUGGGGUAAGAUGACGUUUGAGUGUAAAGAUAACAGCUAGCAUGCUAACUGUGUACUUUCUGAUUCCCAGCUCAUUCUUACUUAUAAUUGGAUACAAACCGUACACAGCACAGCAGACUUAUUUUGACCUCAAGACCUGCUUGUACAAUAUAUCUGUACUGUGGUAAGUCUACGUUUGGCUGUAGAGAUAACAACAGCUAGCAUGCUAACUGUGUACUUUCUGAUUCUCUGAUAAUUGUUGCUUUAUAAUACAUGCAGAUGGUACACAGCAGAUUUACUUUGGCCUCAAGACCUGCUUGUACAAUAUCUCUGUACUGGGGUAAGAUGACGUUUGACUGUAAACAUAAGCACAGCUAGCAUGCUAACUGUGUACUUCCUGAUUCUUUGUAUAAUUCUCAGUUUUGUAAUUGGAUGCAGACAGUACACAACAGACAUAUUUUGAGCUCAAUAUCUGCUUGUACAAUAUAUCUGUACUGGGGUAAGACAACAUUGAAAAACGGUAAAGAUACCAACAGCUAGCAUGCUAACUGUGUACUUCCUGAUUCUUGACUGAUUCUAAAUUAUAAUUACAAGCAGACAGUACACAGCAGACUAACUGUGACCUCAUGACCUGCUUGUACAAUAUAUCUGUACUGGGGUAAGACAACAUUGGAGAACUGUAAAGAUACCAACAGCUGGCAUGCUAACUGUGUACUUCCUGAUUCUAGGAUCAUUCUCACAUUUUGCUCAAAAACAUGGAAAACAAAUCGGGUACAGGCUCUUUAACUAUACAUAAAUAAACCACAUCAAAACAGGUUAAACGGCAAAUUCCGCCGCAGAAUCCCGACCUUUCCGAAAGUUUAGAAAAUCCCGACAUCACGCGAACGCACCGUAACCUCCGGGCUGUGUUUAAGGAUGUGUACUAUAUUCACGGGACAGUGUUUUUUGGCCCCAGCAGCACCCUCCAGUAUUGGACAUCUCUGUGUGUUCUGACGGUCUCACGAGCAGAAGAGGACAGUGGACACGCGCGGGACAUGUCUCUGCAUUAUUUAUUGUCUGUACACAGCGGCUGGUUUUCAAAUAAACAAUCUCUCAUGAACACG